GAACUGCGAUAAGUAAUGUGAAUUGCAGAAUUCAGUGAAUCAUCGAGUCUUUGCACGCACAUUGCGCCCCCUGGCAUUCCGGGGGGCAUGCCUGUCCGAGCGUCAUUGCUGCCCUUCAAGCCCGGCUUGUGUGUUGGGUCGUCGUCCCCUCCGGGGGACGGGCCCGAAAGGCAGCGGCGGCACCGCGUCCGGUCCUCGAGCGUAUGGGGCUUUGUCACCCGCUCGAUAAGGACCGGCCGGGCGCCAGCCGGCGUCUCCAACCUUUUUUUCUCAGGUUGACCUCGGAUCAGGUAGGGAUACCCGCUGAACUUAAGC
rnacentral:misc_RNA from 1 species